CGGUAUAGCUCAGCUGGUAGAGCAACUGACUUGUAAUCAGUAGGUCCCGAGUUCGAUUCUUGGUGCCG
rnacentral:tRNA from 1 species